rnacentral:rRNA from 15 species
CCCGCUGAGUUUAAGCAUAUAAAUAAGCAUAGGAGAAGAAACUUACGAGGAUUCCCUUAGUAAUGGCGAGCGAAUCGGGAUCAGCCCAGCUUGAGAAUCGGGCGGCUGCAUCAUCUGAAUUGUAGUCAGGAGAAGCGUCCUUAGCAAUGGACCAAGCCCAAGUCCCCUGGAAAGGGGCGUCGGGGAGGGUGAGAGCCUUGUCCGGCUCGGACCCUGUUGCACCACGAGGUGUUGUCGACGAGUCGGGUUGUUUGAAAUGUAUGUAAAUUUAAAAAAAAAUUAUGACCUUAUACAUUAUGCUUGUUAUAUUUAUUAAUUAAAUAUUUUAUAUAAAUAAUA